rnacentral:lncRNA from 1 species
GGUGAAGCUCACAACCGUUGUACCAUCUCAGGCCUGCACACGGUAUAGCAAACGGGAGCGUCGCAAUCCAGACAGAUACACGCCGUCUGAAGGACCCGAAAAGCAAGAACCUGGCAAACGUGCUCGUCGUGGUGAAAAGGAGAAGGAGAAUGUGGUUGCAUCCAUUGCUGAGCCAAGUAUUCCAAUUAAGGAAACAACUUCUCUCAUCGGGGGUUUUACACCAUUCCUCCCACCUAAUCCUGUUAAGCGAGCUACAUUCCUCGAGGCUAUGAAGGAUGCCAAGUAAGUUGUGCAUAGUCCCUCUCUCAUAUUUUACUUUGCUUUUUUACAAC